rnacentral:rRNA from 1 species
UGAGAAUCUGCCUAGAGGAUGGGGACAACCACGGGAAACUGUGGCUAAUACCCAAUGAGCGGAGACGUUAAAGAUUUAUCGCCUCUAGAGGAGCUCGCGUCUGAUUAGCUAGUUGGUGGGGUAAAAGCCUACCAAGGCGACGAUCAGUAGCUGGUCUGAGAGGACAACCAGCCACACUGGGACUGAGACACGGCCCAGACUCCUACGGGAGGCAGCAGUGGGGAAUUUUCCGCAAUGGGCGAAAGCCUGACGGAGCAAUACCGCGUGAGGGAGGAAGGCUCUUGGGUCGUAAAUCUCUUUUCUCAGGGAAGAAGAAAGUGACGGUACCUGAGGAAUCAGCCUCGGCUAACUCCGUGCCAGCAGCCGCGGUAAUACGGAGGAGGCAAGCGUUAUCCGGAAUUAUUGGGCGUAAAGCGUCCGUAGGUGGCUCUUCAAGUCUGCUGUCAAAGAGUGGGGCUUAACUCCAGAAAGGCAGUGGAAACUGAAAGGCUAGAGAGCCGUAGGGGUAGAGGGAAUUCCCGGUGUAGCGGUGAAAUGCGUAGAGAUCGGGAAGAACAUCGGUGGCGAAAGCGCUCUACUGGACGGUAUCUGACACUGAGGGACGAAAGCUAGGGGAGCGAAUGGGAUUAGAUACCCCAGUAGUCCUAGCCGUAAACGAUGGAUACUAG